GAGCGCCGUAGCAAUACGGAGCGGCAGACGGGAGAGUAACACGUGGGAACGUGCCCUUCAGUUCGGAACAACCCAGGGAAACUUGGGCUAAUACCGGAUACGUCCGUAAGGAGAAAGAUUUAUCGCUGAAGGAUCGGCCCGCGUCUGAUUAGCUUGUUGGUGAGGUAACGGCUCACCAAGGCGACGAUCAGUAGCUGGUCUGAGAGGAUGAUCAGCCUCACUGGGACUGAGACACGGCCCAGACUCCUACGGGAGGCAGCAGUGGGGAAUAUUGGACAAUGGGCGCAAGCCUGAUCCAGCCAUGCCGCGUGGGUGAUGAAGGCCCUAGGGUUGUAAAGCCCUUUCGGCGGGGAAGAUAAUGACGGUACCCGCAGAAGAAGCCCCGGCUAACUUCGUG
rnacentral:rRNA from 1 species